rnacentral:rRNA from 1 species
GACGAACGCUGGCGGCGUGCUUAACACAUGCAAGUCGAACGGAAAGGCCCUGCUUUUGUGGGGUGCUCGAGUGGCGAACGGGUGAGUAACACGUGAGUAACCUGCCCUUGACUUUGGGAUAACUUCAGGAAACUGGGGCUAAUACCGGAUAGGAGCUCCUGCUGCAUGGUGGGGGUUGGAAAGUUUCGGCGGUUGGGGAUGGACUCGCGGCUUAUCAGCUUGUUGGUGGGGUAGUGGCUUACCAAGGCUUUGACGGGUAGCCGGCCUGAGAGGGUGACCGGCCACAUUGGGACUGAGAUACGGCCCAGACUCCUACGGGAGGCAGCAGUGGGGAAUAUUGCACAAUGGGCGGAAGCCUGAUGCAGCAACGCCGCGUGCGGGAUGACGGCCUUCGGGUGGUAAACCGCUUUCGCCUGUGACGAAGCGUGAGUGACGGGAAUGGGUAAAGAAACACCGGCUAACUACGU